GUCAGUGCACAAAAUGUCACCUUACAGCCUACUGGUGACCCAGCUGCAGAAAGCCCUGGGUGUGCGGCAGUACCAUGUGGCCUCAGUCCUGUGCCAAUGGGCCAAGGUGGCCAUGAGCCACUUUGAGCCCAGUGAGUACAGCCACUAUGACCUGCUGGAGAAGAACAUUAACAUUGUUCGCAGACGAUUGAAUUGGCCUCUGACUCUCUUGGAGAAGAUUUUGUAUGGACACCUAGAUGACCCAGCCAACCAGGAAAAUGAGCAGGGCAAGACAUACCUGUGGCUGGGGCCAGACUGCAUGGUCAUGCAGGAUGCCACGGUCCAGAUGGUCAUGCUUCAAUUUAUCAGCAGUGGGCUCUCCAAGGUGGCUGUGCCGUCCACCAUCCACUGUAACCAUCUGAUUGAGGCCCAGGUCGGGGGAGAGAAAGACCUGCGCAGGGCCAAGGACAUCAACCAGGAAGUGUAUAAUUUCCUGGCAACUGCAGGUACCAAGUAUGGUGUUGGUUUCUGGAAGCCUGGAUCUGGAAUCAUUCACCAGAUUAUUCUGGAAAACUAUGCAUACCCUGGCGUUCUUCUGAUUGGCACUGACUCCCACACCCCCAAUGGUGGUGGCCUGGGGGGCAUCUGCAUUGGAGUUGGGGUGCUGAUACAGUGGACAUCAUGGCUGGGAUGCCCUGGAAGCUGAAGUGCCCCAAGGUGAUCGGUGUGAAGCUGAUAGGCUCCCUCUCUGGUUGGAGCUCACCCAAAGAUGUGAUCCUGAAGGGGGCAGUCAUCCUCACAGUGAAAGGUAGCACAGGUGCUAUCGUGGAACACCAUGGACCUGGAGCUGACUCCACUGCCUGCACUGGCAUGGCCAUAAUCUGCAACAUGGGUGCAGAAAUCGGGCCACCACUUCUGUGUUCCCUUACAACCACAGGAUGAAGAAAUACCUGAGCAAGACUGGCUGGGCAGAUAUUGCCAAUCUAGUUGGUGAAUUCUCACUUGGUGCCUGAUCCUGGCUGCCAUUACAACUAACUAACUGAAAUUAACCUCAAUGAGCUGAAGUCGCACAUCAAUGGGACUUUCACCCCUGACUUGGCUCACCCUGUGGCAGAAGUGAGCAUGGUGGCAGAGAAGGAAGGAUGGCCUCUGGACAUCUGAAUGGGUCUGAUUGGCAGCUGUACCAAUUCGAGCUAUGAGGACAUGGGGCACUCGGCAGCUGUGGCCAAGCAGGCAAUGGCCCAUGGCCUCAAGUGCAAGUCUCAGUUCACCAUCACUCCAGGCUCUGAGCAGAUCCAUGCCACCAUUGAGUGAGAUGGCUACUCACAGAUCCUGAGGGAUGUGAGUGGCAUCGUCCUGGCCAACACUUGUGGCCCCUGCAUUGGCCAGUGGGACAGAAAGGAUAUCAAGAAGGGGGAGAAGAACACGCUCGUCACCUCUUACAACAGGAACUUCACAGGCCGCAAUGAUGCAAACCCUGAGACCCAUGACUUUGUCACAUCCCCAGAGAUCGUCACAGCCCUGGCCAUUGCAGGAACCCUCAAAUUCAACCCCGAGACUGACUUCCUCACAAGCAAGGAUGGAAAGAAGUUCAAGCUGGAGGCUCCGGAUGCAGAUGAGCUUUCCAAAGUGGAGUUCAACCCAGGGCAGAAUACCUAUCGACACCCUCCCAAGGACAGCAGCAGGCAACGCGUGGACGUGAGCCCCACCAGCCAGCGCCUGCUGCUCCUGGAGCCUUUCGACAGGUGGGAUGACAAAGACCUGGAGGAACUGCAGAUCCUCAUCAGGGUCAAAGGAAAGUAUACCCCUGACCACGUCUCAGCUGCUGGUCCCUGGCUGAAGUUCCAUGGGCACCUGGACAACAUCUCCAACAACCUGCUCAUUGGUGCCACCGACAAUGAAAAUGGCAAGACCAACUCUGUGUGCAAUGCUGCCACCCAGGAGUUUGGCCCUGUCUCUGACACUGCCUGCUACUACAAGAAUCAAGGCAUCAGUGGGUGGUGAUUGGCAAUGAGAACUAUGGUGAGGGCUCCAGCCGGGAGCACGCAGCUCUGGAGCCUCGCCACCUUGGGGGCCGGGCCUUCAUCACCAAGAGCUUCACCAGGAUCCAUGAAACCAACCUGAAGAAGCAGGGCCUGCUGUCCUGCUGACCCAGCCGACUAUAAGAAGAUUCACCCUGUGGAAAAACUGACCAUUCAGUAUCUGAAGGACUUUGCCAGGAAACCAUCCUCCUGAACCACACCUUCAACAAGACCCAGAUUGAGUGGUUCUGUGCCAGCAGUGCUCUGAACAGAAUGAAAGGAGCUACAGUAGUAAGGGCCACACUUCAACCCUGCCCGCCCCUCCGACGCAGCGCUGGUGUCAUUUACAAGCGCAGCUCCCAGUGCACCAUCACAGCCAGAUCUGAUCCAUCCAGCCGUGGCUUCUUACUCCAAGGUGGUGUAACCAGACAUGCUUCCUGCCCUCCCUGUUCAUCCCAGAAAGUGACAGUUGGGGCAGUUCUUAAAAGAAUUUUUUAG